rnacentral:tRNA from 2 species
ACUUAAAUAAUUUAAAUAAAAUAUUGAUUUGUGGAGUCAAAAAUAUGAAUUGAUCAUUUUAAGUU